AUGACUCAAUGCACUGACUGCCCACGGACUGCGCCAUUGAAGCGGUUGACUUCGAAGGAGGAGAAGAAUGGGAACUUUGGGCGUGAGUUCGUCAAAUGCGAGAGCAAGCCGGAGGGGCAGAUCGUGAAGAAAUGCCACCAUUUCGAGUGGAUGGAUGAUUACAUCCAGAGGCUUCAAGGGUUGGGCUUGCUGGAUUCGAGGGGGGAUGCAAUCCGCGAGUUCAAUCUGCCCCAUGACGGUGCCGCUCCGGCAGCAGCAGCGCGUCCGAAAUACCCGACGGUGGUAGAUGUCGAACUAAAGACGGAAUUGAAGAAGAUGAACAAGAACUUCAAGCAGCUGAUUGAGUUGAAGAAGCAAUCCAAUCUGAUAGCUUUAGGAAUACUUGCUUUAGGAAUUUUUUACUUGAUGGCCAUCUCUCGUUAG
rnacentral:rRNA from 1 species